UACGUAGGGGGCAAGCGUUGUCCGGAAUCAUUGGGCGUAAAGAGCGUGUAGGCGGCCCGGUAAGUCCGCUGUGAAAGUCCAGGGCUCAACCCUGGGAUGCCGGUCGAUACUGCCGGACUAGAGUUCGGAAGAGGCGAGUGGAAUCCUGGUGUAGCGGUGGAAUGCGCAGAUAUCAGGAGGAACACCAAUAGCGAAGGCAGCUCGCUGGGACGGUACUGACGCUGAGGAGCGAAAGCGUGGGGAGCGAACAGG
rnacentral:rRNA from 1 species